rnacentral:rRNA from 1 species
UACGGAGGGUGCAAGCGUUGUCCGGAUUCACUGGGCUUAAAGGGUGUGUAGGUGGCGCCGUAAGUCGGGUGUGAAAUUUCGGAGCUUAACUCCGAAACUGCAUUCGAUACUGCCGUGCUUGAGGACUGGAGAGGAGACUGGAAUUUACGGUGUAGCGGUGAAAUGCGUAGAUAUCAGGAGGAACACCGGUGGCGAAGGCGGGUCUCUGGACAGUUCCUGACGCUGAGGCACGAAGGCCAGGGGAGCAAACGGG